UUCAGAUCUGGGGAAACACAAAUACUUCCCUAGUAUUUUAUCCCUGCUUCUCAAGAUCUGAACUCAGAACCUGCAAAUCAAAAGUACUAUCUUGACAUGCAGGGCUGUUGCCAUACUGCAUGCCGGUUUAAUUCCCUUACUCGUAUCCAAACUGAAGACUGAGCUGGAUGGAAUCCAGGAGCUGAUCCUAGAUACGCUCUCCAACUGUGUAUACGUGGAGGCUUCCAAAGCUCUAGCAGCUGGUGUCAUUCCUAUCCUGAAGGAGAAGCUCACACACUCCUCGGUGGCCAUUAGAGCCAAAGCAGCUUCGGUCCUCUUAGGAAUUGGCAUUCAUCCAGAGGCAAAAAGCAUGGUGUGUGAAGAAGUCAUUCCAGUGCUGGUGGGCCUGCUGGAAGAUGCAGAUCCUGACGUCCAGGCCAGUGCAACGGGAGCACUGAUGUUUGCUAUCAUUAAACCUCAGGGGAGAUUCUCAGCCCUGGGUGCUGGGGCCAUUCCAUCUUUGCUGAAGUUGGUUGCUGAGGAAACGAGCAAAGCCCGUCUGAGCGCCAUCAAAGCCCUCACCAUGCUGGCUGAGCUGCCGCAGGGCCGAAGGACACUGCUGGACCACAUGGCUACAUUUCAGCAGUGUCUGGGGGAUCCCCGGGAGGCAGUGAAAAGAGCUGCCAGAACCGCCAUCAGCGUCAUCGAAUGGAAACCGUGCUGAGGAUGCAAUGGCUCGCGGAGAUCUAAUGCCCUCUGUUGUUGUCGGCCUGUAAAAGUUGCCUGAUUACACAAGACCUUCAAAUUGCAAACUCUCUGCCUCAGUUACUCUGGAGCAGUUCUCCUGAAAAGCCAUUUGCCAACAGUUUCACAUCUGGAUCAUAGGUCACUAGCAGAAGACUGGGCAAGGGGAAAGGUUAG